GAGCUCACGUGUCGGUUAUUUUGCCAGAACCCGACACAUCUGGUAGCUAACCCAGCCAUUGGUCUCAAGGUUGCGCAUCUCCAGGAGGAUCAUAAACGACGGAGAGUGCCUUUUCACAUUGAAGGAGUGUACCUUUCCACCUUCUCCUGGAGGAUAUACGAAGGAGAGUGCCUUUCCACAUCGAAGGAGUGUGCCUUUCCACCUUGCAACUAGAAAAGAAUGUGGGGGAAACAAUACGAAGGAGAGUGCCUUUCCACCUUUCCCACAUCUGCAUCACGACAAGAGAGAGAACUUCCGUCCUCAACUUGCCAUAUCGACCUUUUUGGCCACACACAGUCAUUCACAAAUCUCAUCAUUUAUCAUCAUCAUUUCCUUACAUUCGUUCUUUAUAGCCAUAACAACAUGUAUUCAUUUAGCUUUCACAUCUUUCUCUUAUAAUUCAUCACGUUUACCCUUUCCGGGUCCCGACCAAACCAUUUAUCAAACUCUUCUCAACCUCUUUAAUAUCGAAUAAUCUUAAAAUCAACCAAACUCUAACAUUAAAUCAAUCACAUCACACGAAGAUUAAACUUUAACUUCUCAAACCCAUGACUACCACUAAGACAUCCUCGACACUCUAUUUUCUUUUUUGUUUUUAAUAUAAUAAAUGAACUCGGAAUUGCGCAAACUUUAUGUCUAGGCGUUCAUCUUGAAAUAAGCUUUCUAACAAACCAAAGAUCAUAAUUUUCUGAUUUCUCUAGCCUCAGGAAUAAAGGAAAACCCGUGACUGCUCUGCAGUGCAUAAAACCAGAAAAACAGCAGCAUCAUGUGAUAUUCAAAAUUCAAUAUAAAAUUCAAGUUAAAUCCAAUGACUUUAAAAAUUAAUGUAGUUAAACUUUACUCAUCCAGAAACAAGUGUGUCUUGGUUGCAACCCAAUUGCUAUUCAAUUCUAAGAGUUACAAGCAUUGGAAGUUGAUGCAUAGUUUGCUGAAAUAUGUUUCUUUUUAGCUUUGACCACCAAUAUU